rnacentral:RNase_P_RNA from 1 species
GCAGGCGGACAGCUUGUCGCUCGCUCCAUCGAUGGAGCGAGAGGAAAGUCCGGGCAGCACAGAGCACUCCGCUUCUUAAUGGGAAGUGGCUCGUGAGGGUCAAUCAGUGUAGAAGAAAAUAACCGCCCCCUAUCGUUCUCCUUUAGGAGGACGUGCGACGGGUAAGGGUGAGAAGGUGAGGUAAGAGCUCACCAGCCGAGCGGUGACGUUUCGGGCUGUGCACAUCGGAGGCUGAAAGUUCAUGUAUACCGACACCAACAGGGCGGCUCGUCCGAGAGUUUCGGCUCGUGUCGGAGGGUAGAACGAUAGAGUGUGGCGGCAACGUCACUCCCAGAUAAAUGACAAGCGCCGAGAAAGCGAAAGCUCUAUCGGUACAGAACCCGGCUCAUCGGCUGCCUGCGCCC